CCUACGGGAGGCAGCAGUGGGGAAUAUUGCACAAUGGGGGAAACCCUGAUGCAGCGACGCCGCGUGAGUGAAGAAGUAUUUCGGUAUGUAAAGCUCUAUCAGCAGGGAAGAAAAAAGACGGUACCUGACUAAGAAGCCCCGGCGAACAACGUGCCAGCAGCCGCGGUAAUACGUAGGGGGAAAGCGUUACCCGGAUUUACUGGGUGUAAAGGGAGCGUAGACGGCGCGGCAAGUCUGAAGUGAAAGGCAGGGGCUUAACCCCUGAACUGCUUUGGAAACUGUAUGGCUGGAGUGCAGGAGAGGUAAGUGGAAUUCCUAGUGUAGCGGUGAAAUGCGUAGAUAUUAGGAGGAACACCAGUGGCGAAGGCGGCUUACUGGACUGUAACUGACGUUGAGGCUCGAAAGCGUGGGGAGCAAACAGGAUUAGAUACCCGGGUAGUC
rnacentral:rRNA from 1 species